rnacentral:rRNA from 1 species
GACGAACGCUGGCGGCAUGCCUAACACAUGCAAGUCGAGCGAGUUGAUCCCUUCGGGGUGAAGCUAGCGGCGGACGGGUGAGUAACACGUGGGCAACCUGCCUCAUAGAGGGGAAUAGCCUUCCGAAAGGAAGAUUAAUACCGCAUAAGAUUGUAGCUUCGCAUGAAGCAGCAAUUAAAGGAGCAAUCCGCUAUGAGAUGGGCCCGCGGCGCAUUAGCUAGUUGGUGAGGUAACGGCUCACCAAGGCGACGAUGCGUAGCCGACCUGAGAGGGUGAUCGGCCACAUUGGGACUGAGACACGGCCCAGACUCCUACGGGAGGCAGCAGUGGGGAAUAUUGCACAAUGGGGGAAACCCUGAUGCAGCAAUGCCGCGUGAGUGAUGACGGCCUUCGGGUUGUAAAGCUCUGUCUUCGGGGGCGAUAAUGACGGUACCCGAGGAGGAAGCCACGGCUAACUACGUGCCAGCCGCCGCGGUAACAC